rnacentral:rRNA from 1 species
UACGUAGGGGGCAAGCGUUGCCCGGAAUUAUUGGGCGUAAAGCGCGCGCAGGCGGCUAUUUAAGUCUGGUGUUUAAACCUUGGGCUCAACCUGAGGUCGCACUGGAAACUGGGUGGCUUGAGUACAGAAGAGGAAAGUGGAAUUCCACGUGUAGCGGUGAAAUGCGUAGAUAUGUGGAGGAACACCAGUGGCGAAGGCGACUUUCUGGGCUGUAACUGACGCUGAGGCGCGAAAGCGUGGGGAGCAAACAGG